rnacentral:lncRNA from 1 species
CUUUUUCCAAUCACACUUUCUUUUGGAUGUUCCUAGAAUUUCUUUCUGUAAUGCCCACUCCUCACACAGUUGAUUUUUCUUGUUGUAAGAGGUGCACUAUGGCAGAUUUUGGCACACCAAUUAUAUCAGCAAGUCUACGAUGGCUUGUAUUAAAUAGUUGGCUUUUAAUUUUAUCUAGCAAUGCAGUUUUACAUGAAAGUGUAAAAUCAUUUCUUGGCAUUUUGGCAGAUUUAAAAAUUUUAAGUAAAAUCGACACUGUAAAUGAAUAUCGCUAAGUACAAUAUAUAGUAACAGUAGACUCUUAAG